rnacentral:lncRNA from 1 species
UUUUUCUUUUUCUUUUUUUUUGUCUUUUUUAGAGCUGUACGCAUGGCAUAUGGAAGUUCCCAGGCCAGGGGUCCAGUCAGAACUGUAGCUGCUAGCCUACGCCACAGCCACAACAGGUCCAAGCCAUGUCUGCAACCUACGCCACAGCUCAUGGCAACAAUGGAUCCUUAACCCACUGAGAGAGGCCAGGGAUCGAACCCCCGUCCUCAUGAAUAUUAUUUGAGUGCCUUACUGCUGAGCCAAGAUGGGAGCUCUGCACCCAGAAAUCUGCAUUUGACUGAUUAGGAUUCAGAGACAGCACAGACAACAUCCUACGGAAUUUCUUUGCAGCAGACAAAAAUCAACAAUAAUAAAACACCAAAGAAAGAAGACAACGGGCUGAGUUUUCUACAGUGUAUUUGCCCCGAGAGAGUUAAACGGAGUCAGCGCUUUGCUAUAAUUUAAAAAUACAGUGAUGAUAUUUUACUUGUCUGCUCUAUAAUUGUACCAAAUUAUUUUGUCCCUGAUGAGGAAAUUGUGAAGUUUUUAUGCCCCAGACUUCCCUGCAUCUGCCCAGCCAGUGACGCAGAUGCCGUCAUGGGAUGUCUCUUUUUCAGAUGUUUUUCUAUUCAGGGCACAAUUAUUUCUGUCUUGCAGUGGGAUUUGUCUUUUAAUGAACUCCAUUUACAUUUCUUUUCCCUGCUUUUAGGCUCACCUCAUUGAAUAACAUCACCUCAGGAAGGUUUCACAUGUAUUAUUUCACCGCGGCGUCUCUAAAACUCACGCAGCGUAAUCUCUCUGUGUUUGUUCUGUUCUUCAUGGGUUUGCGUGAUCUUUUUUCAGGUCUUCACAUGCACAUGCAGUGCAAGAGCCCCGUUUGCGCUCUUUUCCCGGUCAUUAAUGCAAUGUGAAGGGCUGGCUGGGCACCAGUUCCUGGGCUUUCCACCAGAUAGCUUCGUCAUCACUUGGCAGAGUGUUACUUACCAUUCACGCCCCCUCGUUUGCCUUCCUGCUGGCAGUUUGCAACCCUUGCAGGAGUCAUCUUAUGAGUCCAUUCGAAUGAAUUUUUAAAUUGAGGUUUUGGGGGGAAGCACCGUAUCAAAUGUUUUGCUGAAAUUGAACAUCCCUGAUGUCCAUGUUGCACCCCAUAGUCAAUUCCAAAAAAAGUUAACCCGUCGCAUCUGUCUAGACGGACAAACACGAUCCCAUUUUUCUCGGACUUGCCAGGAGGUGACAGCCAUGUUGGUGCCAUGCUUAUUACAGGCGCCUCCGUAAAGUGGUAACUGAGAUGGCUCAUGUGACACCUCCCAGGUGAUUGGUUAUAGAAAAGUUACUGCAUAUGAACGAGAGAGUCUUAAAACUCCUCUGUGCUCUGCCCAUCUCUGCACCCUCCCCACCCUCCAGCAGCCACAUUUACCAAUUUUUAGCAAGACAAUAUAGAUCAGGACUGGACAGAUUACAGCCACAGACCAAGUCUACACCUGCCCGCUCAUGUGCAUAUGGUCUAUGGCUGCUUCCUCCCCGGACAGAGGAAUUGAAUAGUCGUGCUAGAGGCUCAUGUCCUUCAGAGUCUGAAAUAUUUAUUAUCUGGAUCCUUACAGGGAAAAAAAGGACUGAGGUGGAUACUAAUAUUAAUCCUUAUUAUAAACUGUCCCCCGUAAGAGAAAGUUGUGGACAACAACAGGAGACCUGGGACACAGAGGUGAAGUCAGUGCCUUGGGUGCUGUGGGUGGGGGCACCCUUCCGCAAGGUAAGACUUACGGGGCCGAACAUCUGUACUGGACUUGUGGCCAACACUCGGCCUCUGUCCGCUGGUGCCAAAUAGAAACUCGGAGACAGAGUUUUGGGUGAAGGAGAAAAAGAGCCUUUAUUGCUUUGCCAGGCAAAGGAGGCCACAGCCGACGGAGGCCUUAGAGACUGCGUCUGCCAUGGGGAAGAAUGGCAGGGAGUUGUAUGGUAAAAAGGAGAAAAGCAGGUUUUCAGCUGGGAAUCAGGGUUGGGGCAAGCAUGCAUUCUCCUUCCUGUGGGGGACUCAGUCGUCAAACUGGAGUCAGGAGAUCUUGGCCUGAUCAUGAUGGUGGUUUUCUGGGUUCCUGCCCAGAAAAACAGUACCUGGGAAAAGGGCAUAUUGAUCAGAGAUUAGAACAAACUAGGAAGGUUCCUGAAAGACACCCUGUGCUAAUAAUCUUUAAUCCACAGGCAGUUGUGCUCAGGGGGCCUGAUCUUUAGUUUACACGUGAUUGUGUCUGCAGUGCGAUUGAGCCAGGAAGAAGGACACGGAGGACUCUAUGUUGUGCAGUUUUAAAAGGAUUCAUUUCUCAAAGAAGCAUAAGGAAUACAGCUUUUCUCUUAGGUGAGUCCUUAUGUGCACCCUUUUCGGGGGAACCAGGACCCUGCCCCACGGCUGUGCUAUUGCUUCUUGGUUGGUUCCUCCCUUGUCUCUGCAUCCCCUCCCUUGCCUGAUCAGCACCUGUCUGAACCUGCCUGUCAGGGAAGGCCAUGGAGGCUGAAUGAGGCCCAUUUCCUAAAAAUAAGAUGGGGGACAAAGAAAGGCUUCUGUGCCCAGGAGCCCCACAGGGCCCUGCUCCGUUACAAACUCUGUACCCAACUCUGGGAUCCGUGACAAGCCCACAAGAUUCAAAUCCGCUAACACUGUCUCACGCUGGAACGAAUCUGAGGGUCCAACUCAGAAAGCAGUAAAAAGAGAAGGUCGUGACUAUCAGACAAGUGAUGCAGUUAGGAUACAUGUUAUAAAGAAGAAAUGGAAGAUGUAAGUAGGGUUUGAUAUCCAGGAAACAGGUAGGAUGGAGAGAGAAACUCUCACGCAUUCAGUCCUUUGACAAAUACUAGAUGUCUGUUAGGUUCAACCACUCUUUCUCUGUCUAUAGGCAACAUACUUACUCUUUGGAAUUUGUACAUUGCUGGGGAAAGGAGACUGGCCAUACAAACACAUGGAUAUGCAGUCUACCGAGAGGAAAUCGUGUUAUGAGGAGUAUGAGAUGUGGUAGGCUGACAGGAACGGCAGUGGGAACGCACUUUAUCUAAGCUGUUCAAAAAGGGCAGAGACCGGAAGAGGAGAGGGAGUCAGCUAAGCAGGUGACUUGGUAGAGAGCCUUACAGUCAGGCAAACAGCACGUGCAAAUGUCCUGAGCUGGUAGUGGGCUUGGCCUGUCAGAGCAGCAGUGGGAAGCCGGUGCAGUUGGACGGGUGACUCAGGCAGUGGUCAGUGAUGAGGCUCUUGCCUGCGACAUAAAGAAUCUGGAAUCUUCUCUGCGUGGGGAAGAAACCGUGAGCGGGUUUGAAGGGAGGGUGACUUGAUAGACUACGUGCGAACAAGGGGGAUCUCCGGCUGGGCGGAGAAGGACCCUGGGGGUGAUUAUCGAAGUGGGGAAGCCGGUUAGGAGGUAGGUGCAACACCCCUCCCCGGCCCCGUGUGAUUUAGUGGGAAGUGGCACAGGCAGCAGUGGGGCGUGAGGUUCUGAAUGUUGUUUCAAGGUGCAGGUCUUCUAGAAUUUCUUAGAGGGUAGAUGUGCGGGGUAUGACGGCAGGCUGUGCCAAAGCUCUGGUCGAGGGUUGUGGCCUGAGCCCUGAGGGGACCGGCAUCGACUGAGGUGGCGAGAGGAGCAGGUCAGGGACAAAAUCAAGUGUUUAUUUUAUUUUUAACUCUGGUGUAUGAAUUGCACUAACAGCAAGGAUGUGUGGGCCAGUUCCGUCGAUAGAGACCCCCGCAGAGUCACCGUGCCCUCCAAGUCGCACACGGUCUGAGUCCCACCAUCCAGGUGUUAGGAUUCAUCCUGAGCGUCCUUUCUGAUGUGCGAAGAUCAGAUUAUCUUUAAGAAACGGAAAUCUAUAAACAGUCUGUCAAAACGCAGCUUUUUCCUCGUUAGCGUUGGAAUCUGGUGCAUCAAUCAUACACCUUCCGCGGCGUGGUCCCCCUCACUGGUGAGGCGAGAAAUACAAGGCGAUGUGGCAGAGCGACGCCCUUUUCCCCUCAGGCCUGUGGAAGGUAGAGAGCCGCUCCAGGUUACUGAUUUGCAUAAUAGUUCUCCAGUAUUUUCCUUUCUGGGUGGCUAACUCAGCUCGGCCCCCGUGGAGGGCAAUUAAAUUUCACCUAUUAAAAUUUAAGAGGCAGAGACCUUCUUGUUAGAUCAAUACCAGUGGUUUCGUUGAGUGGAAAUUCAUGGUUUACUCUGAGCAUGCGGUCGGGGUGGGCGAGGAUGUGCCACACAGGUGUCCAAGGACCCAGUCUCCUCCGUGUGGUACCCUGGGGUUUCGAGACCUUCACUGGACCGUCUGCAUCUGGCCUGAUAGGAGGUGGGAGAGAGAGAGGAGGUAAGGGCUGUGGGGAGGGCUGAUGGCUGGACCUGCAAGUGGCACAGACACGUGUGUGUGUGCGCGUGCAUGUGCGUGUGUGUGCUCACCCACACACCCGAUAGUGCCUAAGUGACGCCGGUGGUUAGGUGUGUUAUAGGAGGAUUUACUGAAAAUGAUCAAGGAAAGAGUUUCUGGGAAGAGGAUUCAGAGGUUCAACAUUAUAUGACUUUUUUAGGAGUUCCCAUUGUGGCUCAGUGGAUUAAGGACCUGACGUAGUCUCUGUGAGGAUGUGAGUUUGAUCCCUGGCCUCACUCCGUGGAUGAAGGAUCCAGCGUUGCCACAAGCUGCAGUGUAGGUCACAGAGGCAGCUUGGAUCUGGUGAUACCAUGGCUGUGGUUGCAGCUCCAAGUCGAGCCCUAGCCUGGGAACUUCCAUAUGCUGCAGGUGUGGCUAUGAAAAGGAAAAAAAUUUUUUCCUUUAAACCAACCAUGUCAGGUCUUCUUUC